rnacentral:rRNA from 1 species
GAAUAUUGGACAAUGGGGGGAACCCUGAUCCAGCCAUGCCGCGUGUGUGAAGAAGGCCUUUUGGUUGUAAGGCACUUUAAGCGAGGAGGAGGAGCUCUUGCUUAAUACCCAAGAUGCUUGGACGUUACUCGCAGGAUCAGCCCCGGCUCACUGUGUGCCCGCCGCCGCGGUAAUACAGAGGGUGCAAGCGUUAAUCGGAUUUACUGGGCGUAAAGCGCGCGUAGGUGGCCAAUUAAGUCAAAUGUGAAAUCCCCGAGCUUAUCUUGGGAAGUGCAUUCGAUACUGGUUGGCUAGAGUAUGGGAGAGGUUGGUAGAAUUCCAGGUGUAGCGGUGAAAUGCGUAGAGAUCUGGAGGAAUACCGAUGGCGAAGGCAGCCAUCUGGUCUAAUACUGACACUGAGGUGCGAAAGCAUGGGGAGCAAACA